UGUACAAUACUAUUUAGGCUUAUGUGAUUUACUUGUUAGUCAUGCAAAAACAAUAAGUGUAUUCAUAAACACACGCCUCAAACCCUCACAAGUCUCAACACAUACGUCUCAAACCCUCGCAACUCGUAAGUUCUUUUUUGGUCGUCAAGUUCUUCGAUCCUCUUUCAAGAACACGGUAAGAAUAAGGUCUUGCAAAAUCUUUAUGUUUUCACAUAUUAAACUCUCAAUCGUCUUCCCAUUCUUGAUUUUUUUGCUUAUUCGUUGAAUAUGUUAUAUGUAUUUCAUAAGAAUGUGUUUGCUUCUUUGCUUAAAAUCACAAUAACAUUGUUUAUUUAUUGUCGCAGAAAAUUAGAACCAAGAAUUCUAUUUGCCGAAUUUGUAUUUAGUAUUUGCAGAAAAUUAUAUUGUUUGUAGUUCUCAAUCGAAUUCCAUUAAUUAAUGAUAUGCAGGAUUGCUUUGUUGAAAGUCAAAAUUAAUAAAUUUUGUAAAUGGUUAUUGGUCGAUUUUCAAGGCUCAAAGUUAUAGGAUUUAAUGAUUUGUUAACUCUAACCAAUUCAUAGGUGAAACUGUGAAAGUAGAAUUUAAUGGCUUGUUAACCGUAACCUAUUCGUUUGACCCGAUACCCAAUCAGGUUAACCCGAUUAAGAACCCUAUAUACGAUGACAUUUUUUUUGGGGUAUGUUAAGUAAAGAUCUUGAAGACCAUUAAAGCAUCUCUAAUAGUUAAUUUAUACUAUAAUUUAAUAUUUUUACUCAAUAUUAUUGACAUGCCAUCCUUUUAUUAGAUUUAACCUCUAAUUAAAUAUAUCCAAUAAUUAAUCUCUUUCAAUAAUGUUUUUUUUUUUUNUAAAAAUUUUUUCUUUUCAAUAAUUUUUUUUUUUUUUUUUUUUUUUUUUUUUUUUUUUUUUAAAUUUAACAAAUCUAUCUUUAUCUAUUUAAAAUGUUCUAUAUAAUCCAUUCCAUAUAGUUAGUCAAUUUUAAAAACAUAUUAUAUUUUAAUACAAACUAUUUUAAUAAAGAUUAUCAUUAUAAAUUUAUAUUUCAUAAAUAGAAUAUCGAUAAAUAUUUAGUAAAACUAAUUACCUAGUAAUAAAUUAAUAAAUUAAAAACAAAAAUAUACUUAAAUAGUAAAAUAAAAUAUGAGUAGAAGAUGAGGUGGUUGAAUGUAUAAAAUAUUAAAUUAUAUAUUGACCACUAAUAUUUAUUGAAUGAUCAAUAAAAAUAAAUAAAUAAACUUAUUUUAAUGAUGAUAAGUAUUCAAUAUAAAUAAAUAACUAAAUAAAUAAAUAAAUAAAUAAGCUUGAAAAAAAGGCUUCCCAUUCUAUUAUUAUAAAUAUAUGAAACCCCAACUUCUAAUAAACAAUAGAUUUUAAAUUUUUAUUCUUUUUAUCAAAAUUACUUGCUUUCGCAUCAUUUUCAUUAGGUUUAACCACUUAUUAAAUGAUAUUUUAAUGGUUAACUUUUUUUAAUAUUUUUUUUUUUAUAAAAUUUAACUUAUAUAUUCUUAUCUAUUUAAAAUGUUUUAUAUAAUUUACAUAAUCCACUUUAUUUAGUUAGUUAUUUUAACACAUUUCAACAAAGCAUUAUGUACAAAAUAAAUUUAUUUUUCUUUGGAACCCGUAUAAAUAUCUUUUUUACAACAAGAAUAUUUGAUUUUGACAUAUGUGGGCUGUAUGUAAUCCCAAGGAGUACAAGACAUUUGCUAGUUCUCUACUAGCCAUAUUUCUUUUUGCAAUAAUAAUAUUUAAUUUUUUCUAUUGAUUAAAUCUUAUCGACUGGAAUGUCCCUUUAAAUCGUAAAAAAUAUAUAAUAAAUGCAAAUAUAAAUAACUAUUAUUAGACAUUUAUUAUUUCUUUUUGUUAUAUUUUCCUUUUAAAUCGUGCCAAUUUGUUUUCUUAAACUUACAAAUACUAAGAAAUUCCUUAUUAGUUUCUAGUUUAAGGAAUUUGUUGUGCCUUUGGAUCUGAGGUACUGUGUAAGGUAAAUGAUUGGUUUUUUUUAUUUGUCCAUAGGAUUUUGUUUGUUUUCUAGUUUGUUUUACAGGUAACAUGAAUAUAACAAAAGAUUAUGACAUUUGUUCUGCGUUGAUUUUUAAAGUGGGUUUCUUUAUUUUGAAUAAAACGGGAUUGUUUAAUCGGAAAGUAGUUGUGACGUUAUAUUUUUUAUUUUAUAUUUUGUUUUCAUUUUUGUAAGCAGAUUAAGGGAAAGUAUGUUGGAAUAUCAGGCCCUUAAAUAUCACUCACAAAUAACGUAGUAAAAGCAAAACAAAGGAUCUCAAGGUGGAACAAUUUUUUUUAUAUUAUUCAUGCAUCGAAAACAGAAAAAUACACCUUAUUUUAUACUAAGAAAAUGUUAAAUCUAACUAACAACUUUCCCAUAGUCCUUGCUAAACUGAAGUUAUGCCUAUUAUUUUCCAUGAGACUAACUAGACCGAGUCAGACUUACUUCUAAUACUCUUCCAAGGUUUUCUAUUUUUUUUUAUUUUCUACAUAAAGAAAACAUUGGACCCAAAUGACCCAUUCAAACUCGUAACCGACUUGACUUGUACUUUACCCAAACCAUCAACAGUAACCCAACAUUCACCCCCAUUAAUCUUGAUAAUAUUGAUCUUGCUUCUCUUGCUAUCCGAAUCGUUAUGAUUCAAUCUCGCUACUUGCUUUAAUAACAAAAUGUUCUUAUCUCUUACUCCUGUUAAACUUUCUAUUUUCUUGCUUGAUUCGAACUCUCUUGUUUGCUCACUUCGAAUCUUAUUGUUUGCUUGUAACUUGAUAUUCAAACCACCUAGGUUUGAUCUUGCUAUCUUGUUGUAAUCUUUCUCCAUCUUGCCUAGACUUCUUGCUGUCUCUUGCUUCGAUUUUUUUUUUCACUCUUGCUUGCCAGGGUCUUUCUUUUUCUUUGUUUCUCGAACAAAAGUGAUCACUUGUUGCUUGCUUUCUUGCUUCAUUUCUUAUGCUUCUUAACUACUACUUGUGAUUUUGCUGCUACUUGCUACUUGCUUUCUUGCUACUGAUCAAUGGAUCAAUCGAUCUUUAUAUCACCAAACUUCUUGCUUUUAUCCUCUCUUUCUUUCUAAGAACUAGGUAUUAACCUAGCUGCUAAUGAUACUAAGUAUUGGAAUAUCAGGCCCUUAAUAUCACUCACAAAUAACACAGUAAAAGUAAAAAAAGAUCUCAAGGUGGGAAAUUUUCAUUUAUAUAACUCAUGCAUCGAAAACAGAAAAAUACACCCUAUUUUGUACUAAGAAAAUGUUAAAUCUAACUAACAACUUUCCCACGUAGUCCUUACUAAAUUGAAGUUAUGCAUAUUAUUUUCCAUGAGUCUCGGUCUACACAAUACCAAGUCAGACUUACUUUUAAUACUCUUCAAAACUUUUCUAUUUCUUUUAUUUUUUGCAUAAAGAAAACAUUGGACCCAAAUGACCCAUUCAAACCCGUAACUGACUUGACCAAUACUUUACCCGAACCAUCAAGAUUAUCCCAACAAAGUAACACUAACACUUCGUUUAUUUAUAUAUUAGUAUUGAAGGGAUUACAUUUCCUAAAAGAUGGAUACGGUGUUGCUAGGGGAAAACGUGACUACAACGUAAACUUUAUGCCUACUUUUACUUAGAAGAUGCAUUCUUCAUUGUGUGUUUGUACCUUUCGAUUCUUUUCUGAAUUGAUCCUUCCAUAAAGGCGAUAUUGUCCUCCAUAGACUGGUCUUUAACACUGGCGUCUUCAAUAAUGUUUUUUAGGAUUUUCAAAUUGGGGUGGUCUACCUAUGUGGAGACGGUGGUGUGAGACAUGUUUUUAUGUUGAAUCCUUCAUGUUGUUUCAUUUGAGUUGCUUCCAUAAUGUCAUCUACCUCUUGGAGGUAAGUAAUGAGUGCUAGAAGAACGUUGUUGAGUUCUUUAUUCUUCAUUUAUUUUUGUUUUUGGGUUGGAAUUACUAAUUUCUGUAAUGUAUGUGUUUGUGGGGUUGUGUUUUUAUAUAGGAAUGUAAUGUGAGAGGUGGAUUUUUAUAUCGACGUGGACAUAUAUAGCAUUGUAUGCGUGGCAUUGUUUUUGUAGUAGCUUAUAUUACUCAUGUUAUUGAACCCUAUAUAGAUUAUGAGGUGGCUUAUUUUCCUAAUUUUACUGAUAGUCCUAUGCUAGUUUAUAGUGGUUAUGGAUUUAAUAAAGAUAUAGACAUGGGUUGUAACUUUAUAUUUGUGAUUUGAUUAUAGAAAACAAGUGCAAAAAUGGUCCCUGUGGUAUGCAUAUUUUCCAAGGUUUGGUCCAAAGCUUGACUUUUUUUGGUUUCAUGGUCCUUUUGGCCUGGUUUUUAUGUGGAAAUCCCCCCCCCCCUAACUCCCAUUAAAUUGUUGUUGUUAACACCAUCAUGUGCCUCCACUAUGAGGAUAUUUU
rnacentral:lncRNA from 1 species